GGGCCAAAUCUGCCCAAAGAAUCACAUGCAUGGCCUCUUCUGGGAACGAGGCAGGGAACCAGAGAUACAGGGAGAGUACGUGGGGUAGAUUAACAUAGAGGUUAAAGUGUGAGUUGAUUAAUGGAGAGGUUAAAGUGUGAGUUGAUUAAUGGAGAGGUUAAAGUGUGAGUUGAUUAACGGAGAGGUUAAAGUGUGAGUUGAUUAAUGGAGAGGUUAAAGUGCGAGUUGAUUAAUGUAGAGGUUAAAGUGUGAGUUGAUUAAUGGAGAGGUUAAAGUGUGAGUUGAUUAAUGGAGAGGUUAAAGUGAGUUGGACUGAAGAGGUUAAAGUGUGAGUUGGACUGGAAGAGGGGGAGAUCUAGCUGCCCCACCAGCUAGUUUGCCCUGUAUUUCAUGGGUAAACUUAGACAUAAAAAAUAUCAGGCUGCCUGCGAUGGCUUAGAUAUUUUUACAGAUGCUAAAUUAGCCAGUGCCAUUACAAGUGUGUGUGUGUGUGUGUGUGUG
ensembl:lncRNA